CAGGCACCUGAUUUUGACUUUCAGACCAGGCCGACAUAAACUGUUUGUAGAUAUGAGAAUUUAAAUUAUAGUGUGGCCUUUGGCCAUUAAUAAACAUGGAAUAAAAUAAUAGAACAGAAUGAUCACAAUGGAAUUAAAAGAUACCCCCUGCGAUAAUACAACACUGCCGCCAAUCCUCUUGGCAUAGCAACCAACAAUAAUCUUCACCGUAUUAUUUUAAAAGCAGCUGAUUGAAUGUGGCCCAGUCGUUUUCGUCGGUGUAGACUCUGGUUCGUCAAAGAUCGGGGGUCUUCGGAGUUCGCAGAUCUUCGGGACUCGGGGCGGCUGAAGCCGCGAAGUAUGCGUGACAUUGGAAGUGAUGUCUAUACCGGCGAACAGCCGAAUCCUCUGAAUGAAGGAGUUUGCGAAAGUUGGGACCAAGUGGUGACUAGGAACUUUUGGUGCUGCAUCAUGGGAUAUAAGUCAUAUUGCCACGACUUUGACUUGGUUGAGAUUGUGUUCUUUUGCGUGGUAUUCACAUUCGUUCUCAUCGUGCUGACCCAGGCAUGCCGUAUAAUGUCGGCCAGCUUAAGAUCUCGUUAGGUAUAUCUUAUGGCAAUAUAUUUACAAAUUCCCUCAAGUAGGUAAUAAGAAUCCAUACGCAUGGCGGCUCCUGAAGAGGCCCGAAAAGUCAGUGUCGGUUCAGCGCAAGUACAGCCUGCUGCAGAUGGACCGACAGCAACUUUAACCCUUGAUGCCGGAACAUUGAAACAAAAAUGGCUGAAAGUUCGUGCGUACACUACCGUGUCGGUAGACCUACCAGACAUGAUAUGCAUCGCCAUAGUUAUUACAGCGGUCAUUAUUCUGGUGAAGAAAAUGUGCAACAAGUUUUUACGUAGACGUCCGGCAGGACGUGGACGGGGGAGAAGACCCUCAUGUCCCUGUUGAUAUCGGUGAAAUAUUGGAUUCCAGAAUGUCGGGCAGAAACCUUGGUCUCGAGACCAGAUCAUCCGAAGUACCGAUGACUGCGAGUGAACAUUACCUGAUCAUUUUGGUUGCUCUAGGAAUAUUGUUUCUUUCCCGAGAUAUCGUGGUUCAUGAACUUGAUUAACCGAGUGUUACAGAAAGACAAUUGUUUUGAAUCAAUA